rnacentral:rRNA from 1 species
GUCUGGAAAGGCCGGCGCGAUGGGUGACAGCCCCGUACGGGACGGACGAUUCAUAGGACUCGAGUAGGGCGGGACACGUGAAAUCCUGUCUGAACAUGGGGGGACCACCCUCCAAGCCUAAGUACUCCUCAGCGACCGAUAGCGAACCAGUACCGUGAGGGAAAGGUGAAAAGCACCCCGACGAGGGGAGUGAAACAGCACCUGAAACCGGAUGCUUACAAACAGUGGGAGCCCAAGGUUCGUCCUGGGUGACCGCGUACCUUUUGUAUAAUGGGUCAGCGACUUAAAGUUACGAGCGAGCUUAAGCCGAUAGGUGGAGGCGCAGCGAAAGCGAGUCUGAACAGGGCGUUCAGUUCGUGGCUUUAGACCCGAAACCGAGUGAUCUAGC